rnacentral:misc_RNA from 1 species
AUCCCAGGAGCCUUUAUUACUGUGAAAGUCAACAAAAAAUGGGUCAUUGCUGAAAUCACGUAAAAAAAUAGGCAGGAACAUGAUUAAUGAAUAAUAUGAGAAGGAAGCACAUGAAUUUCUUCCCCUGCCUUUAGCAACACAUGCAAACUACUAAAACAUCCAACAAAGUUGAAGUGAUGUCAACUUAAGCAUCCACUAGGAGAUUUGUCAUAUGAGAUGCAACAGACUAAAAAGAUGGGCCAUCAACAAUGGGCUUCUUAACCAUGACUAUUUAAACCAAAUUUGAGAGGAUGAAUUCCAUUCCAUAAGAAAAGGCAUCACAUCCAGCAAAUUGUCCAUUGCCUUCAACAACACACAACCCUGAAGAUCAUUGAAACUUCAUAUUUUACUCAAAUUGUCCAUAUGACCAGUAUUCUUUCCUUGUCUCCUUUUCUUACAUAAAUAAACGCAAGGAUGUUUACGAACUUCCUUAGAUGAUGGUCAUAGCAUAAAAAUACAAGGAAUUUGAAACUUUGAAGUUCUACAAAGCUGCUUUGUCUAAUGGUAAUAAGUUAUGGGAGAAUAAAAUUGUUUAAUAAUAAAUAUAUACAAGCAGGCAGAACUCAAGAUAGAAUGAAAUCAUACAGAACCAAUAGGAUGUCAAAGAACACAUGAUGAUUCCAUCUCUAUUUUUCAUUGAACAGAAUAUCAAGAAAAAAAUUUAAGUAAUAAAAG